rnacentral:rRNA from 1 species
CCUAAGGUAGCGAAAUUCCUUGUCAGGUAAGUUCUGACCCGCACGAAAGGUGUAACGAUUUGGGCGCUGUCUCGGCAGCAGACUCGGUGAAAUCUUAGUACCUGUGAAAAUGCAGGUUACCCGCAACUAGACGGAAAGACCCCAUGGAGCUUUACUGCAGCCUGAUAUUGAAUUCUGGUCAUACAUGUACAGGAUAGGUGGGAGACAAAGAGACGUGCACGCCAGUGUACGAGGAGUCGCUGUUGGGAUACCACUCUUGUGUGACCGGGGUUCUAACCUGGUAUCGAGAACAGGUACGGGGAGAGUGUCAGGUGGGCAGUUUGACUGGGGCGGUCGCCUCCCAAAGAGUAACGGAGGCGCCCAAAGGUACGCUCAGAUUGGAUGGAAACCAAUCGCCGAGUGCAAUUGCAGAAGCGUGCUUGACUGUGAGACUUACAAGUCGAACAGGGACGAAAGUCGGGAAUAGUGAUCCGGCGGUGCCGAAUGGAAGGGCCGUCGCUCAACGGAUAAAAGCUACCCUGGGGAUAACAGGCUGAUCUCGCCCAAGAGUUCACAUCGACGGCGAGGUUUGGCACCUCGAUGUCGGCUCAUCGCAUCCUGGAGCUGGAUUCGGUUCCAAGGGUUGGGCUGUCCGCCCAUUAAAGCGGUACGCGAGCUGGGUUCAGAACGUCGUGAGACAGUUCGGUCCCUAUCUGUUGUGGGCGAAGGAGAUCUGCGGAGAGCUGUCCUCAGUACGAGAGGACCGGGAUGGACCUACCGCUGGUGCACCGGUUGUUCCGCCAGGGGCAUAGCCGGGUAGCUAAGUAGGGAAAGGAUAAGCGCUGAAAGCAUCUAAGCACGAAGCCUACUCCAAGAUGAGAUCUCCCAUUCGCAAGAAGUAAGACCCCUUAAAGACGAUAAGGUAGAUAGGCCAGAGAUGGAAGUGCAGUGAUGUACGGAGUUGACUGGUACUAAUCGGUCGAGGACUUAAUCAG